UCCUGGGUGGUCCAAUGACUAAGACUCCACACUCCCAAUGCAGGGGGCCCGGGUUUGAUCCCGGCUCAGGGA
rnacentral:tRNA from 1 species